rnacentral:rRNA from 1 species
CCUUGGGUCUGGCUGGCCGGUCCGCCUCACCGCGAGUACUGGUCCGGCUGGACCUUUCCUUCUGGGGAACCUCAUGGCCUUCACUGGCUGUGGGGGGAACCAGGACUUUUACUGUGAAAAAAUUAGAGUGUUCAAAGCAGGCCUUUGCUCGAAUACAUUAGCAUGGAAUAAUAGAAUAGGACGUGUGGUUCUAUUUUGUUGGUUUCUAGGACCGCCGUAAUGAUUAAUAGGGAUAGUCGGGGGCGUUAGUAUUCAGCUGUCAGAGGUGAAAUUCUUGGAUUUGCUGAAGACUAACUACUGCGAAAGCAUUCGCCAAGGAUGUUUUCAUUAAUCAGGGAACGAAAGUUAGGGGAUCGAAGACGAUCAGAUACCGUCGUAGUCUUAACCAUAAACUAUGCCGACUAGGGAUCGGACGGGAUUCUAUAAUGACCCGUUCGGCACCUUACGAGAAAUCAAAGUUUUUGGGUUCUGGGGGGAGUAUGGUCGCAAGG